GGGGUUGUAGCUCAGUGGUAGAGUCUUGCCUUGCAUGCAUGAGACCCUGGGUUCGAUCCCCAGCACCA
rnacentral:tRNA from 1 species